UACGUAGGGACCAAGCGUUGUUCGGAUUUAUUGGGUUUAAAGGGUGCGUAGGCGGAUCUUUAAGUCAGUGGUGAAAGCCUGCAGCUUAACUGUAGAACAGCCAUUGAAACUGAAGAUCUUGAAUAUGGUUAAAGUAGGCGGAAUGUAUCGUGUAGCGGUGAAAUGCUUAGAUAUGAUACAGAACACCGAUAGCGAAGGCAGCUUGCUGAACCAUUAUUGACGCUGAGGCACGAAAGCGUGGGGAGCGAACAGG
rnacentral:rRNA from 1 species